ACUCCCUCCUGCAUACCACACUCCCAGUUAUAAUUCUGCCCUAGAUAGACACAGUCUGGGGAGUAUAUGGGACAGAAGGUUAACUGAAGUGGGGGGUGCGGGGGGAUCCAUCUGUGCAGCUUUCAGGAGCCAUUAGCCAUGCCAGGGUGGGACUUCCCAGUGGGCAUCUGUUUGGGAGUUGUCCAUGCUCCCAUAAGUCCAGUAAAGCCACUGGACUAGAUGGGUAUGUCCUUUGGUCAGUUGCUACUGUCCUAUCUGGGAUGAAUGGAUGUUCUUGUCUUCCUCAGAAAAACUAAGGCAGCACGUGGUAUCGAGACAGAGAGACAGGACAAAACUGAGGGGCUGUAUAGGGAGAUCUGAGAAGUGACUGGCAAAAGGGAAUCCAUUGCAGAUCCUGAAAGUAGCAUGUAUGGCAUGUUUUAUAAGAGGACCAUGGUGAAGCUGUAUUGCCCUUGCAUGCAACUGAGGCCCAGCUCUCUGCCCAGAAAACUUGUCUGCUUGAAGAACUAACAGUGACAAAAAGACAUCAUUUCGUGAGCCUCGAUCUGUGGGUAAGUUACUGAGAAGACUCAUAGCCCAUCAAAUUGCAGAGAAUAAAGUGGCUGUUGCUAUGACAUGGUGGUCUGGUACUCAGCCACAGUGGAAGACAAUGACCAAGCAUCUCUGUCAUCUCCCAAUGCUCAGAGAAUACAGCAGCAGAAGAGGGGGUGGAAAGAGCGCCCGAGGAAGACUGAAGUGCCGUGUACCCAUCUUCAGAACAACACAUGGCCUUUACCUUCUUAAAACAGCCUCAGCUGCAUGGGCUUUCAGGAAUAUCUAAGGAAGUAGACUAACUGAAGGAGAAAUCCAUUUAGUUUUUAGAAGAGGAAUAAAUCUAUGUUAGGAUGGGA